CACGUAGGGCGCAAGCGUUGUCCGGAAUUAUUGGGCGUAAAGAGCUCGUAGGCGGUCUGUUGCGUCCGCUGUGAAAACCCGGGGCUUAACCCCUGGCUUGCAGUGGAUACGGACAGACUAGAGGUAGGUAGGGGAGAAUGGAAUUCCCGGUGUAGCGGUGAAAUGCGCAGAUAUCGGGAGGAACACCGGUGGCGAAGGCGGUUCUCUGGGCCAUAACUGACGCUGAGAAGCGAAAGCAUGGGGGAGCGAACAGG
rnacentral:rRNA from 1 species